UGGGGAAUUUUCCGCAAUGGGCGAAAGCCUGACGGAGUGACGCCGCGUGGGGGACGAAGGCCUUCGGGUCGUAAACCCCUGUCAGAGGGAAAGAAGGGUGUCGGCGUGAAUAGCGCCGGCAUUUGACGGUACCUUCAGAGGAAGCCCCGGCCAACUCUGUGCCAGCAGCCGCGGUAAGACAGAGGGGGCAAGCGUUGCUCGGAAUCACUGGGCGUAAAGGGCGCGUAGGCGGGAUGGCAAGUCGGUCGUGAAAUCCUUCGGCUCAACCGAAGAACGUCGGCCGAUACUGCCGUUCUUGAGGGAUGCAGAGGAGAUUGGAAUUCCCGGUGUAGCGGUGAAAUGUGUAGAGAUCGGGAGGAACACCGGUGGCGAAGGCGGGUCUCUGGGCAUUUCCUGACGCUGAGGCGCGAAAGCGUGGGGAGCAAACGGGAUUAGAUACCCCCGUAGUCC
rnacentral:rRNA from 1 species